AAAACAAAACAAAACAAAACAAAACAAAACAAAAAACCAGUAUCAAAAAAUAUAGCUUUCUCUCCCACAACAGGCCAUCAGCUGUGUGUAACGUCUCAACUAGAAGUGAGAUUUGUAAGCUCACCUCUCUCUGCCAUACCAGAAUAUUGACUAGGUUGAGCUGUGCUGGUCUGGUACAGUCAACCACACUGCUGAGAAUCCCCGAGUGCAAAUGCACAUCAUGUUCCUGAGAGCCUGUUUUGCAGUAGUCCACCUGGAGCUCGGGCUCUUAUGAUCUCUCCGCCUCCUCUUCUGUGACAUUCACUGGGCCCUGGGAAGAGAGCUACAGUAUAGAUUUUCCACUUAAGGGUGAGCAUUCCACAGUCACGUACUCUCUGCACUUGGGUCAUUUGAGGUUCCCCGAGUCAAUGUCUGUCCACCUCAGAAGUUUCUCUGAUUGAUGGGGAGUGAGGGCGGUACUAACCUUCGGGUACAAGUAUAAGGAUAUGAAGUUGGGAAAAGGACGUACAAAGAGGGAACCGGGAGGAGCCGAAGGGGGUGCAGAAGCAUGGAUUUGAGAAAAUAGAAUGAAUUCAUGUAUGGAGGGAGAAAAUAAAAAUUUGAAAUUUAGAAUGCCAUUGGAUACUAUAACAAUUUAACAAAACAAUAAUAAGCUCUCUUCUAGGGCCCAUGACUCCUCUAGCCUUAAGUUCUUAGCCAUGUAGCUGUGUUUAUAGUGCUAGGCAUGAGUUCUCUCCUGUUAAUCAGGGCUUAAAUCCCAUCAGGCAACUGUUAGUUCCUGCCCCCCAGACAUCCGUGCCAUCAUUGUACCACUGAGCACAUCUUGCCAGGUGAGUCAUUAUUAUUUCCAGCACUGCCAGGUUGUUAGUACUUUUUUUCUGUCCCAGCUAGAUAAGCACUUACCUAUUUUAUGAAAGGUGGUCAGUCAUCAUGGAGGAAGGUUCUGGUACAAUACCGGCUUGAUUUCUCUCAACUCCCAUGACCAAAGUAUUUGGUAUCUUCUGCAAUAGGGUACCCACAGGCUCUGGUGGGUAAUCGACUAGCCUGCAUUGUUUGUGGGGUAGGGGAGACUCUACUGCUGAAGAACUCAAAAGGAAGCACCCUAUACCUGAUGUUGGGCCUCUGGGUUAAUAGUGUAUGGUUUCUGGGAGGAGCAUCAUUCCCCAUGUGGAGUAAUUGUGAUGAAACUAAUUUUUAAUAAAAGAGUAGAUUUCCAUGUGGCUUUUUCCACACAUCCUCAAUGUAUCCCUCCUUCUACCCCCACCCCACGGUUCACUCUCUUUUUCCCUGACCCACUUAACUGCCUGUUACUUCUCUUUCUCUCCUCACACCACCUGUGUUCAACCAUCUAUCUCCAUUAAGCUCCACCACACCCAGCCUACUAAUGGUCUCUUCUGCUUUCUUGGUUUCUGCAGGGGCUCCGAGUCACACACAGAAACCUAAGGAUUCAAAGCGGUGCGUGUUGCUUGUUGCUGCUUUGGCCUCUGUGCGGUCAGCAUCCUUAGUCCUUUGUGAACCAGUUAUCAUAGAGUCAUUUAUUUUCUUCCUAUAGCCUCUUGGCUGUAUCUAUCCCUCUCUUCCAUUCUGAGUGCUGCUUCUAGUAUUUCCUGUAGGGCUGAGCUGGUGGAUAUGAAGUCCUUUAGUCAGUUCACAGCAUAGACAGUUUUUUUUUUUUUCUCUUCAACUAUGAAAGACAGUUUUGCUCAGUAAAGGAGUCUGGGUUAGCAGCUGUGGUCUUUAGGCCUUGACGUACAUGCAUCUAGGCUCUUCUGGAUGUUAAGUUUCUAUUGGGAAGGCAGCUCUAGUUCUAAUUGGCUUACCUCUGGAUGUGACUUGUGGUCUCGCUUGAAUCGGGCAGUAUGGUUUCUUCGUUCUGUAUAGUCAAAUAUUUAUCUAUAAAGAUGUAGGAGUUCCUAUGGUGGUUUUGUCCAUUUGGUAUUCCAUAUGCCUCUUGUAUCUGGAUGAGCAUCAGCAGCGGCCUUAGAUUUGAGAACAUUUCUGCUAUGAGUCUACUAGAAGAUCUGUUCUAUGCCUUCAACCUGAACUCCUUCUCCUGUGCCCGUGACUUGAGAAUCUCCACGUUGACUCUCACUGAGUGACCAUUUGCGCUUUUGUCACCAAUCCUGAUAUCCUGUCUUCUAUGUGAUCCACACUGUUGCUAAGUCUUCCCACUGAGUUUAUUUUUUUAUUUUAAACUUUAUUUUUUAAUUUACUUUUUAAAACUGGGUUGUUUCAUGUUUCAUUUCUGUGUUCAUGUCAGCAUGUGUUCUCUUCAGUAUUUACAUUUCUCUGUGAAUUCACUUUUCCUAUCCUGAAUUGUCGUCCUUGUUUUAUGUGUUUCCUUGAAUGUAAUCAGUCUAUUUCUGUCCUCCUGAGGUUCAUUUGAGUGUUUGUUUCUUCUUUAAAUUCCCUGAAUUUAUUGAACAAGUUCAUAAGUGUUUUGAGAGUCAUCUGGGUUAUUCCUAUUGGUGAACAUUGCUGGGGGGAUGGUGAUAUUUGUGAGGGGUGGGGGUGGGGCAUACUGUCUUGCUUUCAUAUUGAUUGUAGUUUUGUGCUGGGACCUGGGCACCUGGUGUUAGGCUGUUGGUUGUGUGUUUGUUAUGAGUUUCUAGAGCCCCCGCAUUACAUGGACAAUUUCGUUCUGUUUCACUGUUAUAGUGUCAUGGCUGCUUUCAGAUCAAGUGGGAAAGUAUCUGAACUCAGAUCCUCAGGUCCUUAGUGUUGAUUGGUGAGUGGGGAGACCAGGGCAAUUCCAUUUCAGUGGCUUCCGAGUACUGCUAGGGUUGAGGCGGCUUUGUGGGUGCUUGGAUGAGGUCUUGAAACAAGCUGAAGGGUGGGGGCUAUCUAAACACUGAGAGCCAUGUGAAUAGUGGCUUGGGCAAAGUACUAGGACGGGUAGCAUUAGGCAAAGGGGACUUAUCACCAGGGACCAGUGACUUUGGGUGUGGCUUGCUGCUGGAGCUGGAUCCAGGAAAACUGGGGGUUGGGGUAGGGAAUACAGGGACUUACCAACAAAGCCCACAAGUGCAAAUAUUAGUCAAGGUGGGACUGGCUGGGCAGAGUCUAAAUUUUCUUUUAUAGAAUUAAGUAGUGUCUUGCUGCCAUUGCCAAAUGAAGUGAAAUUGCUUCACCUCUAAAGCUAAGAUUCUUCUUUUCUCAAUUUAGCCUAACAAUGUGGUCAUCGAAUUUAAGGUGGUGUUUAUGAGAUAACAAACCUGAUGCUCACAAGACACUCUAAGAAUCAGAAAGACUUCACUGCAGAGGCCCACCUCUCACACCAGGCAGAGAUUCCAGCUAUGGCUUCCCGUUGGAUGAGUCACUAUGAACACAAACCUCCUGGAAUCCGAGUUAUCACAGCUCUUUGGGGAUGACAAAGAUCACAGCUCUGAGCAGAUGGACCUCUGAGAAGAAUGGCCACAAGCUAAGCUGACACAGUCUCCAGCAAAACUGCAACAGCGUUACUCUUCCUGCUGCCUCGAGGGUUGCUUUGUAAUCACAGGUUGCUUUCUCCUUGGUCUGGAAGCUAGAUAAAGCCAAGCAAGAGGAAAGCAAUAUAUAGUAGGGAGCUUAUAAUGGCUCAGUAUGGAAAGUGCUUGCCAGUUAGGUGUGAGGGCCUAAGAUCAACCCCAGAAUCCAUGUCAAAAAAAAAAAAAAAUAUGGGUGUGGAAGAUGGAGGCAGGCAGGUUCCUCGGGCUCACUGGCCAGCCACCACAACUUAGUGUAUUUGGUGAGCUCCAGGCCUGCCUCAGAAACUAAAGCAUGUGGCACCUGAGGUUGUCCUGUACCUCCAUAUGCAGCCAGACAUGUGAACCAUAUACAUAUAUGGGGCCACUCACAUAUGAACACAUGAGCAUGCGUACACACACACACACACACACACACACACACACACUGACAGGAGUGUGGUCAGUGGCUAUAAUUCCAGUCCUUGGGAGCUAGAAGAAAAAGAAGCAAGAUUUCAAGGACAGUCUUAACUACAUAGCAACUUUGAGACUAGCCUAGGCUACAUGAAACCUUGCCUAGGAGGGUGGAUGGAGCACAAAAGAAAUGAAGGGAGGGAUAGAAGAAGAAAUUAAGGAAGAAAAGAUGGAACUCUUAGAUGUAAAAGAAAAAGCAAGACCCAGCACACUUAAGCCCGGCUCUGGAAAUGCGGCAUUUAGAGUAGCCUGUUUGUGUUUGCUUACAAUAGGCAACCAAGGUUUACACAUUGGAACCUAGGUCUCCUACUGCCUGCCUGUAGGGUGUCUAAUAUAGAAGAUUUAGGGGUUUUAAGGACACAAAUGGUGGGAAAUUGGGUGAAAAAAGAAAGAGAAAAAAGGCUGACACACAAAAUACUUUCAUUAUGCUCUUAAAAGUAAGUAAUGGGGGGAUGGAGAGCUGGCUCAGUGGUUCAGAGCCUGGAAGCUCUUCCAGAGAACAUGGGUUUAAUUCUAGCAUCCAUGUUGGAGCUCACCGCAGCAUGUCACUCCAGUUUGAGGCGAUCCAAUGCCCUCUUCUGGCCUCCAGAAGCACUGCACUCAAGUGGUGCACAGAAACACUUGCAGGUAAAACAACUAGCUCUAAGUGAACACACACUCAUAUAUUUAUGUGUGUGUGUGUGUGUGUGUGUAUGUAUGUAUAUGUAUAUAUGUAUAAAUCUAGUGUUGAUUUUAGAAUUUUCUUCAAAAUUGUAUGUAACUCCAGCUCCUCUUCUGGCCUCCUUGGACUCUAGGUACACACAUGAUGCACACAUGAUAUACACCAACCCAUACACAUAAAAUUAAAUUUAAAAAAUAGUGUGGGUAGUUCUCUCAGUUCAGUACAGACUUUAUGUGGGUCUACCUAGCCUGAUUCAUGUAUGGAAAUGUCGGGGAGUACAUGACAUUUGAAGAGUGGCUUGUGCCUUGGCCACUGGCGUCUCUGUCAGCAUCAGCCACAUUGUGGAUGGGCCUGGCUUUCAAUUGUGCUGUGAUGUAAGGCUGCAAACAUGGAGCCUUGUACAGAACACCCUGACUCACACGAAACAGUCAGCACAGAUUUUUCAAGAAGAGGGAAAGGGGAUGGGGUGAAAGGAAAUGAGGGAGAGAAGGGAAAGGAAGGAAGGACGUACACAGAAAACUAGAUAAAAAACUAAAGCAACUUGUAAAAUUAGUUUCACAGCCAAGCAGACAGUGAAUCUUUUUAAAUUAUUGUGCUGAAGAACAUUUUCACAUACUGAAAACGUGCACGCAAAUAUAAAGUUGAAGCUGUUAUGGUGACACGCACCUGUAACCCCAGCACUUGGGAGGUAGAAGCAGGAGAAUUAGAAGUUCAGGGCCAGCCUGGCCUACAUAGGAAACUUGAGAAUAUCCCAGAUCAAAUGAGAUUCUGGGAUUCUGCCUCCAAAAACACCCCCCCCCCAGUAUAUCAUCUGUUCAUCUGUCUGUCUCUAUAUCUCUAUCUACCUACCUACCUAAAAUAUGUUGAAGACAAAUAUUAUUGAUGUCGUUUUUCAUGCUUAAUACUUUUGAUUAUAUGAAUAUGUGUGCAGUCAUGUUGAUCUUCAAAUAUCUUCAAGAUAUGUGAGCUUGUAGUGAACAGUGUUGUAAUUGAAAAAAAAAUAAACCCACACAAGUCCAGAGUGUGUAAAA